CGGGUGGCAGCAGUGAGGAAUAUUGGUCAAUGGGCGCGAGCCUGAACCAGCCAAGUAGCGUGAAGGAUGACUGCCCUACGGGUUGUAAAUUUCCUUCAUAAAGGAAUAAAGUGAGGCACGUGUGCCUUUUUGUAUGUACUUUAUGAAUAAGGAUCGGCUAACUCCGUGCAAGCAGCCGCGGUAAUACGGAGGAUCCGAGCGUUAUCCGGAUUUAUUGGGUGUAAAGGGAGCGUAGAUGGGUUGUUAAGUCAGUUGUGAAAGUUUGCGGCUCAACCGUAAAAUUGCAAUUGAUACUGGCAGCCUUGAGUACAGUUGAGGUAGGCGGAAUUCGUGGUGUAGCGGUGAAAUGCUUAGAUAUCACGAAGAACUCCGAUUGCGAAGGCAGCUUACUAAACUGCCACUGACAUUGAUGCUCGAAAGUGUGGGUAUCAAACAGGAUUAGAUACCCCUGUAGUC
rnacentral:rRNA from 1 species